GUGGGGAAUCUUGCGCAAUGCGCGAAAGCGUGACGCAGCAACGCCGCGUGAGGGAAGACGGCCUUCGGGUUGUAAACCUCUUUCAGGAGGGACGAAGCCUGGCAGGUGAAUAGCCUGUCCAGGUGACGGUACCUCCACAAGAAGCCCCGGCUAACUACGUGCCAGCAGCCGCGGUAAUACGUAGGGGGCAAGCGUUGUCCGGAAUUAUUGGGCGUAAAGAGCGCGUAGGCGGUCCGGUAAGUCGGUUGUGAAAGUCGGGGGCUCAACCCUCGGAUGCCGAUCGAUACUGUCGGGCUAGAGUCCGGAAGAGGCGAGUGGAAUUCCUGGUGUAGCGGUGAAAUGCGCAGAUAUCAGGAGGAACACCAAUGGCGAAGGCAGCUCGCUGGGACGGUACUGACGCUGAGGCGCGAAAGCGUGGGGAGCAAACAGGAUUAGAUACCCUGGUAGUCCACGCCGUAAACGAUGGGCACUAGGUGUGGGAGGUGUCGACUCCUCCCGUGCCGAAGCUAACGCAUUAAGUGUCCCGCCUGGGGAGUACGGCCGCAAGGC
rnacentral:rRNA from 1 species